UUUCCUUCCAAGUUGCACAACUCUCACUCUCUCUCUUUUCUCUCUAUCUCUCUCUCUCUCUCACUCUCUCUCUCUCUCUCUUAUGCUUUUAAAAGCGAUGAGUCACUAAUGCUCUUAGGAUUUUGGUCUUUGGAUAAAGAUUUAUAAAUUUAGGAUAAUAAUAGUCCUCUAUGAUUGAGUUGGUUGUUGAUAUAAUACCAUUAUCUAAGGAAUAGAAUUGGUCAAAACAAUCUCUAACAGUGAAAAAUUUAUAAACACCAAAUAUUUAAAAAUUUUAAAAGCACCAUAGUUGUACUAUAUAUAUAUAGUAGAGAUACUAUACUUUAGAAAGUAUAAAGAAAUUGAUGCUUUCGAUUUUUUAACUCUUAAAUAAAAAAUUAUAGAAUUAAAAUGAUAGUGUUUCCCCUUAGGACUUAGUAGAAUGUGUAUGUAUAUAUAUAAGAGACAGAGAGUUGAGCUGGAAAACUAUAAGUAGCAAACGAACUUCGUUGUCAUCCAUUUAUUUUCGAUGAUGAAACCUUCAAAUCGAUAAUCGGCAUCGUUGAACAUAAUCUAUAUCACUUGAAAUAUCUAGAAAUCAAAUUUUAUAUUUUUUCAAUAUUGUUCUCUUAUCCAUCAAGCGGACGUAAAAAUAAAUGGCGGAAAAUAAAUAUCCUCUAAAAAAUGAUGAUAAAAAUUUUAUAAUCAAGAUAAAGAAUAUAGAUCUUGUUCUAAAUAGUUUAAAAAAUUUUCUAACCAAAAUUUAAUUGAUUUGAAUAGCUUUACACCAUUAAACGAGAAAAUGUCUCAUAUCUACCAUUAAAAUUAUAAAUAUUAAAACCAUUUGAUCAUUAGGUCAAAAUGUCAAAAAGAUUCAAAAUUUAGUUUCUAGAUGCUUCAAGUGGUAUAGAUCAUGUUCAACGGUACCGAUCGUUAAUUUAAAUACUCCAUCAUCGUAAACAAAUGGGUGGCAACGGAACCAGUUUGCUACCGAUAGCAUUCCAACUAAACUCUCUCUCUCUCUCUCUCUCUCUCUCCCUCUAUAUAUAUAUAUAUAUAUAUAUAUAUAUAUAUAUAUAUAUUCCUAAUUGUAAAUACUUUUUAUCUUUGAAUUACAAAACUUGGUCUAAUUGACAUUCAUUUAUUUAUUUUUCUAUAGGAAACUAAAUUACAGAAAAAGAAAGUACAUAAUAGUAAACGAAGACAUUUCUAAGUGGCGCAUAACUCAUUGUAAAAACAAAAUUUUCAGAUCACAGGAGCAUAUACUCAAUCGAAGUAACCUCCUAACCAAAAGAAAAGGACACAAACAUGACAUAAAAAUAGGUAUCUUCUCAAUCAUUUAUUAACCCCACAGCUACAUUUGUUAAAGAGUAAUAGCAAUUUUCUAAGUCCAACACAGUUCCAGCUGUUGAAAAGAACAAAAAGAAUAAUGGUGCUCGUUACUGCCACAUCCCUUCGGCUACUACCACCACCUUUCACAUGCAGUGCUUAAUGCUUAUGCAUAUAGACAAGUGGGGCACAUUCAGAAUAGACUUUAGUCAAUGUAUAAAACCUUAUACAACGUUUCUCACAAGAUAUCCAGCAGGAUAUAGAUUUAUUUUUAAGCCACUUGUUCCCAGCGACAACUAAGCUUCUCAUUCUAAUUUUAGGAGUGUAAUGCUCAACCCCAAUUAAAGUUGCUAUUAUGCCUCAUUGACCAGGGAGUUUGGUAAACAUAAAAUCUACAGCUGCUGAGAGCGGAAAAUCUAACAAUGUCUCGAGCCCAAACAUCAGCGAGAGUGUUACAUAUAAAUAAAUAUUAAACACCGAGGAGCGAACAAGGAUGACACCAUGCGAGCACCUACCACAGUGGAAUAUCAUUUGUCUGUUGUACCAUCCUCAUAUAACAACUUAUCCAUUCAAUUGCGAGAAACAAAUGAAACUUCCAUGAUAUAUACGCACCAGUUCAACUUAAACUAUUCACAAAAAGCACUUUACAUUCAGCUUCUACGGUUUGACACCAAACUAGUAACACUUCUGUACACUAUAUCAAGCAAGAAAAUGUUAACACGAGGUUGUUAAGGAGAGUUAGCAAAAGGAAAAGAUUUCAUUACCACAAGGUCAGGGUCAAAUUUGGCUCCAUCUUUGAGUUACCUAGAUGUUUCACCGCACCGAGCAAAUUGGGGUUUGAUAUCCCUGCUCCGCAUGUACGUCAAGAAUUGUCCUGGCAGCUCUUCAAGAAGAGAUUGAACGAUGGAGACCUGACCACCUGUAUAGCAUAAGCAUAUAGGUGUAAGAUUAAUACAAUCCACAUCAUUAAUUUAGUCCCUGAAGAUCAGCCCUAAUUCCACUUUCGUCCUUUGAAAAUUCAAUUUCGUCCUCAUAUUUUCAAUGUUAAAAAUUAUUCCGUGAAGUCUGACCCCAAUUUCAAAGGGUUCGAUUCAAAGGGCUUAAUUGUUACAUACAGCAAACUUAACAAACUUCAAGCACUUACCUCAACAAAAAUAAUAAUAAUAAUAAUAAUAAUAAUAAUGAUCAAGCAUUAAAGUGUCAAAAUUGGAAUUAUGAGAACGAAAUUGAAAUUGGGGGUCAAACUUUAGCCACUUUGUAACUAAUCCUAAUCUAUCUGUUGAUGAUGCUUCAACAGCAAUAAGCAUGGUCUCUUUGAUUUGAAUUUCCUAUCCUUGAAUGAGGCAGAUUACAACUUUCUCUUCAAAAUAAAUUGAAGAAGAGAUUAAGAGAAUUAUAUAACUUAAAAGCUGGUACAGAUCAGUACGGCAACGACAGAAACUCAGAAAAGUACAUUGUAAUCACUACUCACCCUGGACCUCCCGCAUAGGAACAAAUUGUACGAUGUCUCGCGUAGCUACCCGUCCAGUAGAGCUCUCCAGCCGUUUUCCAUUAUCAGCAUCAAGGAUCUAAUCAAAUAGAAUUUGCAAAUGGAAAAUUAUUAUACUAAAGAGAGGAAAUUUAAGAGCCAAGGAAUUACAGCGUUAUUACAAACCACCAAGCGCAUACCAAAGGGAAAAUGAUAUAACAAUAGUACAAAAGUUACUGACAUUGCACUAAUAAAAGCCAUUCUGAAAUUAACCUUUUCCGCGCAAUGAAAAAUAACUAUAAUUAUACCUCCAUAUCUUUGAAAUCAGCAGUUCCAACACCUACUAUGAGAAUCGAUAAUGGCAAAUCAGAUGCCCUUACAAUAGCAUCUUUCGUUUCCUGUGUGUCAGUGAUAACUCCGUCCUGAAAAGGAGAUAAAUAACUAAACACUAGAAACAAGGGGAAAAAACAGAAACAGGUAGAGAUCCAGACAACUAAAACUACACCAUAUAUAGCUCUCACCGUGAUAAUAAGUAAGAUGAAAUAUUUGUUCUGGAUAACUGCUAGGGAUCGGCUAGCAAUUUCUGCAGCUUUGUUGAUCACUGGCCCAAAUAAAGUCGGCCCAGCAAGAGAAACACUGUGUAGGGCGGAUGAGUAUGCCGACAUGAUGCCCUCAAUUCCCACAACCUGUGGCAACAGAAAACUUUAUUCUGCAAAACCGUUGUUCUUUCUUUCUACUUGCAAUAGUCUUAUGCUAUUCUUAAUAGGCUCAGUCUAUUUAGUCACUACAUCAUGGAAGAACUAUGUAUUGUAUAACAAAAGGUAUGAAAACAUUGAACUUUGAUGCUCUGACCUCACACUCAGAAGCCAUUCCAUUCAAGUUAAAACAAUGAGAGACUGAGCCAUCAAUAGUUCUUCCUCCAAAGCCCCAUGCAGGAAAGUGCCUAUCCGAGUCAUAGAAUUGUAAAACCUCCCCAACUCCCACUAUGGCCUUCAAAGAAAGAAGAAAAUGAAAAAGAAUAAAAAUGAGACAAAAGAGAUGAAUCUUAACCAUUAAAUUAAAGAUGUGUAAGCUGAAUAUGCAAUUAGCCACUAGAACAAGAAAGGAAACUUCACCUGCUGAUAUGAAUUCAGUCUACCAGAAGGAUCAAUGUAGUGCAAGGAUUGGGGCAUUCGAGGAUCACCAUUUGAAGCUGAAUAAUUAUAAGUAUUAGCAGUAAGCCAAUGCACACAGGAUACCUUGGUAGGAAAGAGGAUUAUAAAUGCAAGCAAAUAACUACGCAAGUAAACAAUUGCUUACCAGUAAAAUCUAUGGCAACCAUAAAGUUAAGUUCAAAGCCACUGGAGAUAUAGUCCAAGAAACUAUAUAGAGUUUUUUCAACAAAUUUAUCCACAAAAAUCUGCCCCUUCAGCAUCUGCAACAAAUUCAAAUUGUGAAGCAGAUUAAAUAUUUAAUCUGCCAAACAAAAAACCUGCAGAAAAAAGUUCUCAGAAAGCAACUGUAAUUACCGAGUACCUUUGUGUUGUCAUGACGAAUGGACGAUGGAACAUAAAAAUUUGCUCCAAUCUUUUCUCUGCUAAGCCUUUCUAUUUCUGCAACACUUGCCUGAAAUUUUCUGCUCAAAUGAUAGGACAUAACAUCUAAAGUGGAAAGCAAAGGAGCGUACAAAAGAGCAUUGUAUCGUAGAGAGUAUAACUAACAAUUUACCCUAAAAGGUCAUGCUUGCCAUUGGCAUUGAAGUCAAAACACUCGAUCAUCAGUGGGUUCUCCUGCAAAUGACCAAAAGUUCACAAUAAAGCUUACACCUAAGAUACAUGUGAAUUAUUGAUUUCAAUCAAGACGUGUCCAUGCAUUACCUUGCUUCCAAACUGUUGUGUCAUCAGUGUCACGGGCUUCCAGAUGGGGUUCAAGUUAUCAUUGAUCACUUCUGUCUUGCAAAUAGGAAUAGAAGCACCUGAUUCCACUAUUCUAGAUAUUCUUAAGAAGGGAUCCUACAACAAAAGGCAGAUAUACUUGAGAGGCCCAAUUAAAAGUAGAAUUAUGAAAAUAAACAUUUAUAUAUCAGUAAAGAUAUAUACAUAAAUACAAUUCCAUAAUUAUCUAUUCACAUACGUACGUAUUUUGGAAAAAUCUGAAUUUUCUUAUAUACUCCCCGAAAGUGCAAUCUAAUUAUUUAAAAAAAUGCCCUAUGGUUGAGAAGUCGUCCAAUUCACGGAGCAAGUAGGUUUGCAACAAGUAAAGUCUUUAAAAGGGAAGAGUGAGCAUGAGAAUUCAGACUUUUGAAGGGUAUAUGCACAUAAAUAGAUGAUUUCGCAGGAAGUGUACGUGUAAAAUCCCAAUCCGAUAUUUAUGUGAAAAGAAUGGUUUUUUAUACACUUUUUGAAAAGAGAUCCUUAUUUUCCAGGUUUGAACAGCGAAAUAUCAAUUCCACAGCCGUCCGUGACGCGACUGUUUCUUCUGCAUGGACCAUUAGGCUGCCCGAAAAUGUGCCUGCAGGCCCACUUUGAAGUUUAAGUGCCAAGCUCCGCUCAAACUUGGUAACAAUCUGCACAGGGCAAAAAAAGAUUAAAAAAAUAUUACGAGUAAACAGGAUUGCCAUAAAGAAGAAACAGGUAUUAAUAUAGAAGACGUUCUAAAAGCUAGGCCGAACAGACACAAAGUAAAUUUGCACAUCCUUCAACAGUACUUAAUUAACUACCAAAUUAUUCUGAUCAACAAAAUGAAAAGAGGGUUUCCUUGAGAGAUGGAGUGCACAACCUCUGAUAGCACACAAGAAGCUUCGCCCACAUAAUCUUGCUCGCUCAAUUUCAGCAUCUGUACAGGGUAAAUAAUGGUAAGUAUCUGAAUCCAGGUAUAGUCCUGAUAAAUUAAUUGAUCUGACAUGCAUAGGAGGGCCAAAUGCUUGCUUAUACCUUUAGUCAGAGAAUUAAGCUAAUAAUUAAUAAGGAAAAAAAAAUGGUAAUAUGAAAAAGAUGACAAAAGGCAACAAAACAUGUAAUGCAAUGCGACACUUACUAUUUUUCUUGCAUUAAACGUGUGAUAUACUAAACAAAGACCAAAGUCCUAAACUAUUACUAUUGCUAUUGAAUACUAGACCGAAAAGAAUAAUGGCCUGAAAAACGUUUAGAGAUGAUUUGUAAUAUUAAAUAAAUGUUAUUAACACGCUACAGAAUAUAUACAUACAUACACACACACACACACACACACACACACACACACACACACAUAUAUAUAUAUAUAUAUAUAUAUAUAUAUAUAUAUAUAUAUAUAUAUAGAUAUGAACUAUCAAAAAUCUACUAGGUUAUCAUGCUAAAUAAUUUUAGAAGGAAACUUUCGGAACCAGAUAUGCAGACCCCUUAAGAUUCUUACUGGAUCACAGCAGAGUGAAGAUAGCGAUGACAACAGUUUACUUUGUAGAUUUAAACAGAAGCAUGAUCAAGCUAACAGAUCGACUAGCCGAGAAAUUUUAUAUCUCCAGCAAUUGAAACUUCUAGUUCACAAAACAUACAAAAGAAUUGUCAUAAAGACAAAAAAAAGUUUAGCUUAACAAAUCCAAGAUGGAACAAGAAAACUUUUACAGAUAAAAAGCUCAUAGCAAGUCAAAUAAGUACUAAAAGAGAACGGUAAAAGAAUAUCUGCAAGUAUAUUUUAAAAAUAAGGCACUACUUUAUUGGUUAUUCGUAUAAUCCACUAAAUUGAAUUCUCAUAAAUAUAUUUUUUAUAACGCGAUUGAAUCCCUAUAAUAAAGCACAACUAUAAAAGAAGCAGCCAAUACCUUCACAGGUGUGCUGUGGUACUUAGUGUCAACAUCAUAGACCUGAAAACUAACGGGCAAGAAAAGGAGAUAAUAAGGAAAACACGCAAUAAGAGAUGCAAAAUGACAAUCUAAAGAAACUUACACCGAGGAGAAACUUACACCAAUGGUUGAACAAUCUCAAACUGAUAAUUGAUAAAAAAUUUAGUAAUCCAGGAAGGAUUCAACGAAUUCAAUAUAACUUCAGUACGGCCAAUUUCUUCAAGCCUUCCAUCUUGUUUCUUUGCAUAUAGUACAACCAUUGGAUCACUCUAGAGUGAAGCAAGAAAAAUAAUCAGUGCAGUCAAGAACCAUUUAAUGAAAAAGAUGAAAGACUUGUACUUCUUGGCAGUGCAGCUAACAACCAAAGAGAACUUUAGGUACAAUUAAUUGACAAAGCAACACAAGAAAGCUACAACAAGGCAAAUGGCCAUAUAUAUUCAACCUCUUCUUUCUUGGCAUAUAAUACUGCCGUUGGAUCACUCUAGAGUGGAGCAAGAAGAACAAUCAGUAAAGUCAAGAACCAGUUAAUGAAAAACAUGAGAGAUUUGUACAUCUCAGCAGCUAAGCAAACAACCAAAGAGAACUUUAGCCAGCGAAUUAACAAAUCAACAACGGAAAUCUACAACAAGGUAAAAGGCCAUAUAUACUUAGGAAAACGAGUAUCUCUCAAAUCUUAAGUUAAUGCAGUUAUCUAUCAUGAAGAUUGACCUUCAUAGCUCAGUUAAUAGCAGUUGCAGAAUAAAGCAUUACUUCCCACUCAAAUGACUAUGUAAUAUGAAGUCUAAAUGAGUAAGGCAGACCUCAUUAGUGAUUUAAUCCAUGAAGAGAAGACAGAGCGACAACAAUCUUUCAGCCAAAUGCAAGAUAACAUUCAACAUAAUUCUGAAGUAAAGUUACUAUUGACAUAACAUUCAACUAAAAAUGCUUUAACUCCAACUACAUGGUCAAAAACCAUACGAACUUCACACAAACAAGGAUAAAACUAGAUAGAUAACCUGGCAGCAUUAAUUUAGUAAAAAAGAUACACCCAGAAAACACAAGGUAGUUCAUAAAAUGUAUAUACUCAUGGAUCAAAUUAAGAAGCACACCUUUGAAAGUAUGUCCAGGUUCCGCAACUUUGAAGCAGACAAUGAUAACUGAACAACAAAUAUUAUCAAGAAAAAUGUAUAAGAACUGUCCGUUAGUGGCAAAGAAAGUGCAAAACUCCCCUAAUCACAUUGUUAAUUAUUGUAUAUUUGUCCAGAUACAAAGAAAGAGGAACAAUAAUUAUCUUCAGCAAAUCAAUCAAAACUAUAUGAUCUUGUGACACUCCCUUUUAUCAACUAUGGAAACCGUCAACCUAGUCACAGUCAUGAUCUUUCAAUGCGUAUUUCAUUUCAACAUUCUGAAUAGACAAAACUUGGUUCACUUCAUCAAAUCUCUAAGAUGACUAUAAAACUAAAACCAAAGAAAAUUCAAGAAAUUGAUAAAUAGAGACCUGCAUAUGAUCAAAUAUUAUCAUCAAAUGAAUCAAAAGCUAACAAAUCACGCCACAUAAUUUAGAUCGGUUGAGGCACUUGAUGAAUUUAUCCAAGCCCACACAGCAUGAUCAAGAAUCGUCAAAAAACACGUUAUCCCAACCAACCAAAUGAAUUCUUCAACCGUACAGCUCAUCCUCGAACCAAAAUUCGCAUGUUUCGAGGGCACUCCCCACAAAGACACAUUCCAAUCCAGUACUUGAAACUCACAGAGAGAUCCACUCCCACUCCCCCACUCAUCAACUAUUUCCGAGCUUAAUUAUGGUGCAAGCACGAACGCGAAGAAGCGUCAAGAAUCUAGGGUUUUGGGGGGCGCGAGCUCACCUCGAGGGGGACGUAGAGGCCGCGGAGGCCGCGGGAGCGGAAGUAGUGGUCGACAGCGUCGCUCGCCUCGCCCUGCGCCGCCUCCGGCGGCGGCUGGGCCCCCGCGCACGUCGGAGAAGCACCCACCCAUCUCUCGCUACUGUGUACUUCGUUUUGCCACUGUAGUUUAUGUGAGUUAGAUCUACAUUCGUUAGAUUAUACUAUUCAACCAACCACCCACACAAUCUUAGGGGCCCACAUCAAUAUAACCAUAAAUUUCUUAAUCUAAUGGCUAAAAAUAUACAAACACAAAUAAUUUAAUAUUUUUAAAAGUAUAAAAACUCAAUUUUAUAUAUAUAUAUAUAUAUAUAAAAUUGAGCUUCUAUGCUUGUAAAAGCACAAGUCAUUGGUGCUUGUAAGUUUUUAGCUUUUGGAUUAAGAAAUAUGCGGUUAGGAUGAUAGUGGUCUCCUAAAGUUGAGUGGUUAGCUGAUUGAAUAGUAUGAUCUAAUAAAUAAAAAUGAUCAAAAAAGUAGAUUUAACAGUAAAAAACUUACAAACACCAAUGGUAUAUAUAUAUAUACAUAGACGAAGUAACGGAGGAGAUUUGGGAAAAUGAAAGGAAAAUGAGGAAAAGCGCGUCUAAUUGAAUAAAGCUUCCUAUUUUAGGGAACGCGUGUUUACUGAGAGAGACGCUGUCGGAGAAAUUUAAAUUU
rnacentral:lncRNA from 1 species